rnacentral:rRNA from 1 species
UACGUAGGAGGCAAGCGUUAUCCGGAAUGACUGGGCGUAAAGGGUGCGUAGGUGGUUCGGCAAGUUAGUAGCGUAAUUCCGGGGCUCAACCUCGGAACUACUACUAAAACUGUUGGGCUUGAGUGCAGGAGGGGCAUAUGGAAUUCCUAGUGUAGCGGUGGAAUGCGUAGAUAUUAGGAAGAACACCAGUGGCGGAGGCGGCUUACUGGACGGUAACUGACGCUGAGGCUCGAAAGCGUGGGGAGCAAACAGG